rnacentral:rRNA from 1 species
GGUUAAGCGACUAAGCGUACACGGUGGAUGCCCUGGCAGUCAGAGGCGAUGAAGGACGUGCUAAUCUGCGAUAAGCGUCGGUAAGGUGAUAUGAACCGUUAUAACCGGCGAUUUCCGAAUGGGGAAACCCAGUGUGAUUCGUCACACUAUCAUUAACUGAAUCCAUAGGUUAAUGAGGCGAACCGGGGGAACUGAAACAUCUAAGUACCCCGAGGAAAAGAAAUCAACCGAGAUUCCCCCAGUAGCGGCGAGCGAACGGGGAGGAGCCCAGAGCCUGAAUCAGUGUGUGUGUUAGUGGAAGCGUCUGGAAAGGCGCGCGAUACAGGGUGACAGCCCCGUACACAAAAAUGCACAUGCUGUGAGCUCGAUGAGUAGGGCGGGACACGUGGUAUCCUGUCUGAAUAUGGGGGGACCAUCCUCCAAGGCUAAAUACUCCUGACUGACCGAUAGUGAACCAGUACCGUGAGGGAAAGGCGAAAAGAACCCCGGCGAGGGGAGUGAAAAAGAACCUGAAACCGUGUACGUACAAGCAGUGGGAGCACAGAGCAAUCUGUGUGACUGCGUACCUUUUGUAUAAUGGGUCAGCGACUUAUAUUCUGUAGCAAGGUUAACCGAAUAGGGGAGCCGAAGGGAAACCGAGUCUUAACUGGGCGUUAAGUUGCAGGGUAUAGACCCGAAACCCGGUGAUCUAGCCAUGGGCAGGUUGAAGGUUGGGUAACACUAACUGGAGGACCGAACCGACUAAUGUUGAAAAAUUAGCGGAUGACUUGUGGCUGGGGGUGAAAGGCCAAUCAAACCGGGAGAUAGCUGGUUCUCCCCGAAAGCUAUUUAGGUAGCGCCUCGUGAAUUCAUCUCCGGGGGUAGAGCACUGUUUCGGCAAGGGGGUCAUCCCGACUUACCAACCCGAUGCAAACUGCGAAUACCGGAGAAUGUUAUCACGGGAGACACACGGCGGGUGCUAACGUCCGUCGUGAAGAGGGAAACAACCCAGACCGCCAGCUAAGGUCCCAAAGUCAUGGUUAAGUGGGAAACGAUGUGGGAAGGCCCAGACAGCCAGGAUGUUGGCUUAGAAGCAGCCAUCAUUUAAAGAAAGCGUAAUAGCUCACUGGUCGAGUCGGCCUGCGCGGAAGAUGUAACGGGGCUAAACCAUGCACCGAAGCUGCGGCAGCGACACUGUGUGUUGUUGGGUAGGGGAGCGUUCUGUAAGCCUGUGAAGGUGUGCUGUGAGGCAUGCUGGAGGUAUCAGAAGUGCGAAUGCUGACAUAAGUAACGAUAAAGCGGGUGAAAAGCCCGCUCGCCGGAAGACCAAGGGUUCCUGUCCAACGUUAAUCGGGGCAGGGUGAGUCGACCCCUAAGGCGAGGCCGAAAGGCGUAGUCGAUGGGAAACAGGUUAAUAUUCCUGUACUUGGUGUUACUGCGAAGGGGGGACGGAGAAGGCUAUGUUGGCCGGGCGACGGUUGUCCCGGUUUAAGCGUGUAGGCUGGUUUUCCAGGCAAAUCCGGAAAAUCAAGGCUGAGGCGUGAUGACGAGGCACUACGGUGCUGAAGCAACAAAUGCCCUGCUUCCAGGAAAAGCCUCUAAGCAUCAGGUAACAUCAAAUCGUACCCCAAACCGACACAGGUGGUCAGGUAGAGAAUACCAAGGCGCUUGAGAGAACUCGGGUGAAGGAACUAGGCAAAAUGGUGCCGUAACUUCGGGAGAAGGCACGCUGAUAUGUAGGUGAAGUCCCUCGCGGAUGGAGCUGAAAUCAGUCGAAGAUACCAGCUGGCUGCAACUGUUUAUUAAAAACACAGCACUGUGCAAACACGAAAGUGGACGUAUACGGUGUGACGCCUGCCCGGUGCCGGAAGGUUAAUUGAUGGGGUCAGCGCAAGCGAAGCUCUUGAUCGAAGCCCCGGUAAACGGCGGCCGUAACUAUAACGGUCCUAAGGUAGCGAAAUUCCUUGUCGGGUAAGUUCCGACCUGCACGAAUGGCGUAAUGAUGGCCAGGCUGUCUCCACCCGAGACUCAGUGAAAUUGAACUCGCUGUGAAGAUGCAGUGUACCCGCGGCAAGACGGAAAGACCCCGUGAACCUUUACUAUAGCUUGACACUGAACAUUGAGCCUUGAUGUGUAGGAUAGGUGGGAGGCUUUGAAGUGUGGACGCCAGUCUGCAUGGAGCCGACCUUGAAAUACCACCCUUUAAUGUUUGAUGUUCUAACGUGGACCCGUGAUCCGGGUUGCGGACAGUGUCUGGUGGGUAGUUUGACUGGGGCGGUCUCCUCCUAAAGAGUAACGGAGGAGCACGAAGGUUGGCUAAUCCUGGUCGGACAUCAGGAGGUUAGUGCAAUGGCAUAAGCCAGCUUGACUGCGAGCGUGACGGCGCGAGCAGGUGCGAAAGCAGGUCAUAGUGAUCCGGUGGUUCUGAAUGGAAGGGCCAUCGCUCAACGGAUAAAAGGUACUCCGGGGAUAACAGGCUGAUACCGCCCAAGAGUUCAUAUCGACGGCGGUGUUUGGCACCUCGAUGUCGGCUCAUCACAUCCUGGGGCUGAAGUAGGUCCCAAGGGUAUGGCUGUUCGCCAUUUAAAGUGGUACGCGAGCUGGGUUUAGAACGUCGUGAGACAGUUCGGUCCCUAUCUGCCGUGGGCGCUGGAGAACUGAGGGGGGCUGCUCCUAGUACGAGAGGACCGGAGUGGACGCAUCACUGGUGUUCGGGUUGUCAUGCCAAUGGCACUGCCCGGUAGCUAAAUGCGGAAGAGAUAAGUGCUGAAAGCAUCUAAGCACGAAACUUGCCCCGAGAUGAGUUCUCCCUGACCCUUUAAGGGUCCUGAAGGAACGUUGAAGACGACGACGUUGAUAGGCCGGGUGUGUAAGCGCAGCGAUGCGUUGAGCUAACCGGUACUAAUGAACCGUGAGGCUUAACCU